UACGGAGGGGGCGAGCGUUAUUCGGAAUCAUUGGGCGUAAAGCGCGUGUAGGCGGCUUGGCAAGUCGGUUGUGAAAGCCCGGGGCCCAACCCCGGAACUGCAUCCGAAACUGCCUGGCUAGAGUCCCGGAGAGGAAGGCAGAAUUCCCGGUGUAGGGGUGAAAUCCGUAGAUAUCGGGAGGAAUACCAGCGGCGAAGGCGGCCUUCUGGACGGUGACUGACGCUGAGACGCGAAAGCGUGGGGAGCAAACAGG
rnacentral:rRNA from 1 species